UACGAAGGGGCUAGCGUUGCUCGGAAUCACUGGGCGUAAAGCGCACGUAGGCGGACUCUUAAGUCGGUGGUGAAAUCCUGGAGCUCAACUCCAGAACUGCCUUCGAUACUGAGAGUCUUGAGUCCGGAAGAGGUAAGUGGAAUUCCUGGUGUAGCGGUGAAAUGCGUAGAUAUCAGGAGGAACACCGGUGGUGUAGACGGCUCUCUGGACCGUAACUGACGCUGAGGCACGAAAGCGUGGGGAGCAAACAGG
rnacentral:rRNA from 1 species